rnacentral:rRNA from 1 species
UACGUAGGGGGCAAGCGUUGUCCGGAUUUACUGGGCGUAAAGAGCGUGUAGGCGGCCAAGCAGGUCCGCUGUGAAAACUCGAGGCUCAACCUCGAGACGUCGGUGGAAACCGUUUGGCUAGAGUCCGGAAGAGGAGAGUGGAAUUCCCGGUGUAGCGGUGAAAUGCGCAGAUAUCGGGAAGAACACCCGUGGCGAAGGCGGCUCUCUGGGACGGUACUGACGCUGAGACGCGAAAGCGUGGGGAGCGAACAGG